GACGAACGCUGGCGGCGUGCUUAACACAUGCAAGUCGAACGAAGAGCGAUGGAAGCUUGCUUCUAUCAAUCUUAGUGGCGAACGGGUGAGUAACGCGUAAUCAACCUGCCCUUCAGAGGGGGACAACAGUUGGAAACGACUGCUAAUACCGCAUACGAUCUAAUCUCGGCAUCGAGGAUAGAUGAAAGGUGGCCUCUACAUGUAAGCUAUCACUGAAGGAGGGGAUUGCGUCUGAUUAGCUAGUUGGAGGGGUAACGGCCCACCAAGGCGAUGAUCAGUAGCCGGUCUGAGAGGAGGGACGGCCACAUUGGGACUGAGACACGGCUCAGACUCCUACGGGAGGCAGCAGUGGGGAAUCUUCCGCAAUGGACGAAAGUCUGACGGAGCAACGCCGCGUGAGUGAUGACGGCCUUCGGGUUGUAAAGCUCUGUUAAUCGGGACGAAAGGCCUUCUUGCGAAUAGUGAGAAGGAUUGACGGUACCGGAAUAGAAAGCCACGGCUAACUACGUG
rnacentral:rRNA from 1 species